GACGAACGCUGGCGGCGUGCUUAACGCAUGCAAGUCGAACGGAAAGGCCCUGCUUGCCGGGUGCUCGAGUGGCGAACGGGUGAGUAACACGUGGGUGAUCUGCCCCUUAUUUUGGGAUAAGCCUGGGAAACUGGGUCUAAUACUGGAUAGGACCAUGCUGUAGGGGGUGGGGUGGAAAGAUUAGUUUCGGUAAGGGAUGAGCUCGCGGCCUAUCAGCUUGUUGGUGGGGUAAUGGCCUACCAAGGCGUCGACGGGUAGCCGGCCUGAGAGGGUGGACGGCCACAUUGGGACUGAGAUACGGCCCAGACUCCUACGGGAGGCAGCAGUGGGGAAUAUUGCACAAUGGGCGCAAGCCGGAUGCAGCGACGCCGCGUGGGGGAUGACGGCCUUCGGGUUGUAAACUCCUUUCAGCCAUGACGAAGCCCUUGUGGUGACGGUAGUGGUAGAAGAAGCACCGGCUAACUACGUG
rnacentral:rRNA from 1 species